CACUGGGGCGGUUGGGCGCAGGAGCGGCCCGGGGCUGCAGGGGAGGGCGUUUGGAGCGGCCCAGGAAAAAAAAAAAAAAAAGGCUUCCGAGGCGCCUCCGCGUGAUUGAUGUAUAAUUAAGAGCAUGAUAAGCCCCUAAAUGAUGACUUCAAAGGCCUGAGCAGUCUGCAGCUUGAAGGCACCCUAAGGUUCUGCCUAUCUUCCUCUUGGAUCGUCUCCCUGCAGCUACCAAAAACCACUGAAAGGCUCUUCAUUCAGGGAUCACCACUGGCAAAUUUGUGGGAAGAUAUGGGAUGCUGGGGAUCAAACCUUCGUCAGCAUGUGCAAGGACAAAAUCAGUCACUUUUCUCUGGAAAACGACAGUCACUGGAGGGAUUCUGACAAAUUGCUUUAGAAACUUCUGAUGUAAUGAUGAUGCUGGGGAGUGAUUAGAAGUGAGACAUAAAAAGCAGAGAGUCACAUGAAGAAGAAAAUAGAAGAUCCAAAUGUCAGUGCCCCGUCAUGGAGUUAGGGAAUCAUUUGAGAGAACAAAGUGAAUGAAAACUCAGAAAUGAGCUCAUCAGAAAGGACAUUGUAGAUACAAGAAACCACGGGAAAAUCAGCGCCAACGAAACAUGAAUAUGUUGAACUUGGAGGUGCUCUGCACAGUGAGCUUCCUCAGGAGCUGCAUUUGUGACCCAUACUGAAAUGAAUGAAUCCCUGUUGAGCUAAAUCAAAAUAUAUUUAAGAAAUAAUGUCCGUGGCAGUGGAGUCGAAAGCGUAAUGAAGUGCUUUUGCGGAUGAUUAAACAUCCCAGUGAAGCCCAGGACCCGUGGAUAACCGCAGACAUAAUGAGUGUGAGUAUCUGCUAAUGCCAAGCGCAUUAUUAUUAAUUCGUGACAAGGAAGAGUCAACAGACCACAAGAGGAGAGGGGGGGAGACGGUGGGCUUCAACCUCUAUUACUGCAGCGAUGGGUUGUGGAAUGCACAGACAUAGGCACGCGCACGAAGCUCCCCGCAGCUGACCCGUUGGGAAGGACACCUGCAGCCCCGUGUGACAGCUCUGUGCUGUCUGCCCUUGAUGAAUCACUUCGUCAUCAGUGCCCGGGGUUUAUUCAGAAGAUGCAACCUCCCCUCAGUAUAGUCGGACAGUCGGGUAAGAAGGAGCGAGCAUCAAAAAUCAUCUUGGAAAGGCCAGUAGGGAAAGACUCACACCCAAAAUACGCGUGAAAAGCCAGAGAGGAUCAACCCAUGGAAGAGGAGUGGAAAGAAGAGGAGGAAGAAAGAGCCAAAAUUUAGGGAGAAGAAAAUGAAAGGAGGUGAUGUUACUGGUAAAACCCGAGCUCAAUAAUAAGGACAACUCUCAGGAAGAAUUUCUGGAGUGUUUACUGCAUGCCUGGGAUGUAAUGGAAGGAUGAGGCCCAGGAGCCCCUGUACCACAUCUACUCUUGAAUGGGGGAGGGAAAUAAGUCUGUGACCCCCUGAAAGUUUUGCUGGGAGCUCUAUUCAGUCAACAGUUGUUGGUCUCUGUUAAGCCAAGGUCCACCUUGGAGCGUGCAAACAAAAUUAAUUCAGAAGAGACCAGGUGCUUCACCACUUCCUUCUGUUAACCACUAUUUUAUUUGAAUACUCUAGGAACUUUGGUGUUUGUUUUGUUACUUUUGUACCUGGGGGUGGGAUGGGAUUUGAGCUACAUCUGGUCGCUCAAGGCUUACUCCUGGCUCAGCACUCAGGGAUCCUCUUGAUGCUUGGGGUUAGAUAUCACUGUCACUGUAUCACUGUCAUCCCAUUGCUCAUCGAUUUGUUUGAGUGGGUACCAGUAACGUCUCUCACUGAGGGACUUAUUGUUUUUGGCAUAUCCAAUACGCCAUGGGUAGCUUGCCAGGCUCUGCCGUGCGGGCUCCAUACUGUUGGUAGCUUGCCAGGCUCUCUGAGAGGGGUGGAGGAAUCGAACACAGGUCAGCCACGUGAAAGGCGAACGCCCUACCGCUGUGCUAUCGCUCCAGCCCGGGGUUAGAUAUAAGAUAAUAAAUUGUUAUUACUAGAAAUAGAGAUGAUUAUUAGAAUAUGUCAUUCAGGAAUGACCGGCAAAUUCUGUGGUAAUGCAACUGACUGACUUGGGUGAUGUAUUUAGCGGUGUCAGGUUACCAGUGGAUG